UUAGCUCACCCACUGAGGCUGAAGGGCAGGCGGCAUUGAGAAGCUGGCCAGGUCUGAUGAAGAAUCGAGCCGUCCCGCAUGCUGUUUCCACGCUUUGCCCAGGAUCUGAUGACUCACCCACUGCUUUGAAGGCAGCGAUAGUGUUUCUGAUUCUGUCCUGGGAUGGCCUCGAGGAUGUCCCCCAGUUGGACCUUAGAAGCAACAUCAUACUGUAUCUCCAUUGCUGUCAACUUACUUUGGAUUCUGGGUUUCCUCUGAGUGCUGCAGUUCAACAUUUCAUGCUAAGUUCCUUUCUGUUUCGGCAAAAGCUUGAGUCUUGUUCUCCUGUGGAGACUGUGGGUUUCAUCAUGGCCAAGUUCGGCAUUAUUGAUUUUCCUGAGAAACCACAUAGGCCAUUACAUAAAGCUUGUGGUCUAUUAAGGACUUUGCUCCAGAGCAAUAUCUUUACCGAGUGUGAUUCCCCCGCCCCAAGGGACAUGUAGCAAGGUCAACCACUGUGUAGAAGCACAAUGCUGACAGUAAACAGUUUGGGUGGAAUUCCAUCUUGAUCUUGAUCAAUCAAAUGCCUAUCAAUUCUCGACAACGCAAUAAUUGGCUGCCCUCCUGUGCAAAUAUGCACCUUUGAAGACCAUGAAAAGAAAUCUGAAGCUGAACUUAGAAUCUGUUUCAAUUGAGCUGACAAUAAUUCUUCAUGUAAGAAGGAUCUGAGGCUGUAUUCAUUUCUUUUCAUAGAAAGAGAAACUACAUUGUGACUUAGACAGGGGGAUUGCUACAAGUUCAUAGCACCUUACAGGACCCUGUCUCAACAGAGACAGAAAGAAGGAAGAGAAAGUUGAUAACGUCAUGGCUUAAAGCAGCCAAAAGCUCUGCCAAAGAAAGCUAGCGUGUCAUGCUCAUUAAAAAAGUCCUGGAGUUAAUGCUUUAGUUUAAAGUUAUU